rnacentral:rRNA from 1 species
GUCUGUGAUGCCCUUAGAUGUUCUGGGCCGCACGCGCGCUACACUGAUGAAAUCAGCGAGUUUAUAACCUUGGCCGGAAGGUCUGGGUAAUCUUCUGAAAUUUCAUCGUGCUGGGGAUAGACCAUUGCAAUUAUUGGUCUUCAACGAGGAAUUCCUAGUAAGCGCGAGUCAUUAGCUCGCGUUGAUUACGUCCCUGCCCUUUGUACACACCGCCCGUCGCUACUACCGAUUGAAUGGCUUAGUGAGACCUCCGGAUUGAGAUAUCGACGCUGGCAACAGCGACUGUAUUUUGAGAAGCUGGUCAAACUUGGUCAUUUAGAGGAAGUAAAAGUCGUAACAAGGUUUCCGUAGGUGAACCUGCGGAAGGAUCAUUACCAAUCCAAAGUAACGGUAGUCAAGCUCAAACUUGGCUGCUGUUAACUAAACACUUGUGAACUGUAAUCUUAGACAGAGUCUUGGACUGCCGCUGUCUGUGCCACAGACAGUAGGCUGAUCAUUGGAGACUAGUCUAUAAUCAUUGCCAGAGCAAUUUGGCAGUGGUUUAACUAGUGUCCUUUGAUGACUGACGCAAGUCAAAGUCCUUGGCUUCCGUCGCUGUAUUUGGCACUUAAUAUUUUAAAUGUCUAAGGACCGUGACAAACUUUUAACGUAUUACAACCUUUAACAAUGGAUCUCUUGGCUCCUGCAACGAUGAAGAACGCAGCAAAAUGCGAUACGUAAUGUGAAUCGCAGUUCUCGUGAAUCAUCAAAUCUUUGAACGCACCUUGCACUUCCAUUUAACCGGAAGUAUAUCUGUUCGAGUAUUAUUAUACUCUCAACUACAACACUUGUUGUAUUUGGACUUGAGUGUUCUGUCUGGCCGCUUUCGCAGACUGUCACUUUGAAUGAAAGAGUUUGAGAGCGUCUAAGACAUCUCUGUUCCCUUGACUUGUUCAAAAUGAGCCUUGGGAACGUAGUCUUGUGCUGUGUCGAAGCAAACUCUAGGACCGAGGGGCAUAAAGGCCUUGAGCCUUUCACCUUUAAUCUCGAAUCAGAUAAGAUUACCCGCUGAACUUAAGCAUAUCAGUAAGCGGAGGAAAAGAAACUAACAAGGAUUCCCUUAGUAACGGCGAGUGAAGAGGGAACAGCUCAAAUUUUAAAUCCUUAGGGGUAACCUUAAUGAAUUGUAAUUUGAAGGAGUGUUUUCCGUGGCUAGUGCAGGCGUAAGUUUCCUGGAAUGGAACAUCAAAGAGGGUGAGAAUCCCGUCUUUAGCCCGAGACUAGCCAUUUAGUGAUACACUUUCUAAGAGUCGGGUUGUUUGGGAAUGCAGCCUUAAAUGGGUGGUAAACUUCAUCUAAAGCUAAAUAUUGGCAGGAGACCGAUAGCGAACAAGUACCGUGAGGGAAAGAUGAAAAGCACUUUGAAAAGAGAGUCAAAUAGUACGUGAAAUUGUUAAAGGGGAAACGUUUGGGAUCAGUGAUGACCUUCAGUAAUCAGUCAAGAUUGGCAACAGUCUUGAUGUACUUACUGAAGUCAAGUCAACAUCGGUUUGAGUUGCUAUAUACUCUUGCAUAGAAUGUAGCUCACCCUCGGGUGAGUGUUAUAGCUUUGCAUGAACAUAGGGACUUGGACUGAGGCAUGCAGUGCGUUUAGGGAACUUGGUGCUAGCGCUGUCAAGGCUUGGCAAGACAUUAAAUGACUUGUUAGGCUUUUGGUUUUUCUAGCAUUAAGGGUCACCAAAGUACUUUGGAUGUUGACGAAAUGGUCUUAAACGACCCGUCUUGAAACACGGACCAAGGAGUCUAACAUAUAUGCGAGUAUUUGAGUGGCAAACUCGAAUGCGUAAUGAAAGUGAGUCAGAAUGGGAUCUUUUCCUUGGAGAAGUGCACCAUUGACCGACCUUGAAGCCAUGUGCUGAAGGGUUUGAGUAAGAGCGUAUCUGCUGGGACCCGAAAGAUGGUGAACUAUGCCUGAAUAGGGUGAAGCCAGAGGAAACUCUGGUGGAGGCUCGUAGCGAUUCUGACGUGCAAAUCGAUCGUCAAAUUUGGGUAUAGGGGCGAAAGACUAAUCGAACC